rnacentral:rRNA from 1 species
AGUGAACGCUGGCGGUAGGCCUAACACAUGCAAGUCGAACGGCAGCACAGUAAGAGCUUGCUCUUACGGGUGGCGAGUGGCGGACGGGUGAGGAAUACAUCGGAAUCUACUUUUUCGUGGGGGAUAACGUAGGGAAACUUACGCUAAUACCGCAUACGACCUACGGGUGAAAGCAGGGGAUCUUCGGACCUUGCGCGAUUGAAUGAGCCGAUGUCGGAUUAGCUAGUUGGCGGGGUAAAGGCCCACCAAGGCGACGAUCCGUAGCUGGUCCGAGAGGAUGAUCAGCCAAACUGGAACUGAGACACGGUCCAGACUCCUACGGGAGGCAGCAGUGGGGAAUAUUGGACAAUGGGCGCAAGCCUGAUCCAGCCAUACCGCGUGGGUGAAGAAGGCCUUCGGGUUGUAAAGCCCUUUUGUUGGGAAAGAAAAGCAGCAGGUUAAUACCCCGCUGUUCUGACGGUACCCAAAGAAUAAGCACCGGCUAACUUCGUG